rnacentral:rRNA from 1 species
AUUGAACGCUGGCGGCAUGCCUUACACAUGCAAGUCGAACGGUAACAGGUCUUCGGAUGCUGACGAGUGGCGAACGGGUGAGUAAUACAUCGGAACGUGCCUAGUAGUGGGGGAUAACUACUCGAAAGAGUGGCUAAUACCGCAUGAGAUCUACGGAUGAAAGCAGGGGAUCGCAAGACCUUGUGCUACUAGAGCGGCCGAUGGCAGAUUAGGUAGUUGGUGGGAUAAAAGCUUACCAAGCCGACGAUCUGUAGCUGGUCUGAGGGGACGAACAGCCACACUGGGACUGAGACACGGCCCAGACUCCUACGGGAGGCAGCAGUGGGGAAUUUUGGACAAUGGGCGCAAGCCUGAUCCAGCAAUGCCGCGUGCAGGAUGAAGGCCUUCGGGUUGUAAACUGCUUUUGUACGGAACGAAAAGCCCUGGGUUAAUACCCUGGGGUCAUGACGGUACCGUAAGAAUAAGCACCGGCUAACUACGUGCCAGCCGCCGCAGUAACAC